rnacentral:rRNA from 1 species
CAGGCUUAACACAUGCAAGUCGAGGGGCAGCACAGGUAGCAAUACCGGGUGGCGACCGGCGCACGGGUGAGUAACGCGUAUGCAACUUACCUAUCAGAGGGGGAUAACCCGGCGAAAGUCGGACUAAUACCGCAUGAAGCAGGGGCCCCGCAUGGGGAUAUUUGCUAAAGAUUCAUCGCUGAUAGAUAGGCAUGCGUUCCAUUAGGCAGUUGGCGGGGUAACGGCCCACCAAACCGACGAUGGAUAGGGGUUCUGAGAGGAAGGUCCCCCACAUUGGUACUGAGACACGGACCAAACUCCUACGGGAGGCAGCAGUGAGGAAUAUUGGUCAAUGGCCGAGAGGCUGAACCAGCCAAGUCGCGUGAGGGAUGAAGGUUCUAUGGAUCGUAAACCUCUUUUAUAAGGGAAUAAAGUGCGGGACGUGUCCCGUUUUGUAUGUACCUUAUGAAUAAGGAUCGGCUAACUCCGUGCCAGCAGCCGCGGUAAUACGGAGGAUCCGAGCGUUAUCCGGAUUUAUUGGGUUUAAAGGGUGCGUAGGCGGCCUUUUAAGUCAGCGGUGAAAGUCUGUGGCUCAACCAUAGAAUUGCCGUUGAAACUGGGGGGCUUGAGUAUGUUUGAGGCAGGCGGAAUGCGUGGUGUAGCGGUGAAAUGCAUAGAUAUCACGCAGAACCCCGAUUGCGAAGGCAGCCUGCCAAGCCAUUACUGACGCUGAUGCACGAAAGCGUGGGGAUCAAACAGGAUUAGAUACCCUGGUAGUCCACGCAGUAAACGAUGAUCACUAGCUGUUUGCGAUACACUGUAAGCGGCACAGCGAAAGCGUUAAGUGAUCCACCUGGGGAGUACGCCGGCAACGGUGAAACUCAAAGGAAUUGACGGGGGCCCGCACAAGCGGAGGAACAUGUGGUUUAAUUCGAUGAUACGCGAGGAACCUUACCCGGGUUUGAACGCAUUCGGACCGAGGUGGAAACACCUUUUCUAGCAAUAGCCGUUUGCGAGGUGCUGCAUGGUUGUCGUCAGCUCGUGCCGUGAGGUGUCGGCUUAAGUGCCAUAACGAGCGCAACCCUUGCCACUAGUUACUAACAGGUAAAGCUGAGGACUCUGGUGGGACUGCCAGCGUAAGCUGCGAGGAAGGCGGGGAUGACGUCAAAUCAGCACGGCCCUUACAUCCGGGGCGACACACGUGUUACAAUGGCGUGGACAAAGGGAAGCCACCUGGCGACAGGGAGCGAAUCCCCAAACCACGUCUCAGUUCGGAUCGGAGUCUGCAACCCGACUCCGUGAAGCUGGAUUCGCUAGUAAUCGCGCAUCAGCCAUGGCGCGGUGAAUACGUUCCCAGGCCUUGUACACACCGCCCGUCAAGCCAUGGGAGCCGGGGGUACCUGAAGUCCGUAACCGCGAGGAUCGGCCUAGGGUAAAACUGGUGACUGGGGCUAA